rnacentral:rRNA from 1 species
GAACGCGAAGAACCUUACCAGGYCUUGACAUCCCUUGACAACUCCAGAGAUGGAGCGUUCCCUUCGGGGACAAGGUGACAGGUGGUGCAUGGUUGUCGUCAGCUCGUGUCGUGAGAUGUUGGGUUAAGUCCCGCAACGAGCGCAACCCUUAUUACUAGUUGCCAGCAUUUAGUUGGGCACUCUAGUGAGACUGCCGGUGACAAACCGGAGGAAGGUGGGGAUGACGUCAAAUCAUCAUGCCCCUUAUGACCUGGGCUACACACGUGCUACAAUGGCGUAUACAACGAGUUGCCAACCCGCGAGGGUGAGCUAAUCUCUUAAAGUACGUCUCAGUUCGGAUUGUAGGCUGCAACUCGCCUACAUGAAGUCGGAACCGCUAGUAAUCGCGGAUCAGCACGCCGCGGUGAAUACGUUCCCGGGUCUUGUACACACCGA